rnacentral:rRNA from 1 species
UACGGAGGGUGCAAGCGUUAUCCGGAUUCACUGGGCUUAAAGGGUGCGUAGGCGGGUAUGUAAGUCAGCGGUGAAAUCCCCGAGCUUAACUUGGGAACUGCCGUUGAUACUAUAUAUCUUGAAUGUCGUGGAGGUUAGCGGAAUAUGUCAUGUAGCGGUGAAAUGCUUAGAUAUGACAUAGAACACCCAUUGCGAAGGCAGCUAACUACGCGAAUAUUGACGCUGAGGCACGAAAGCGUGGGGAUCAAACAGG